ensembl:lncRNA
CAGUCUAGGGAGCUUAGUCUUCAUACAGAACAUAUCCUGGAUGUCUUAAAACAGUUUGCCAUGCCAAAAAGAGGGAUAAAAAAGGUAUGGGAUCAUGGCAGCAUUGGAAUCAGGGCAGCUAAUACAAGGUGAGAUGAUGUUAUUUGGCAUUAUCACUAGCUGUAAGUGGCAAUUGUGAGGUAGGUUCCGAGGGUGCGCAUAGCUGACAUUCUGUAAAGUGACCAGGUCAGGGGACAUUAAGUAGUUGGCACACCAAGGUCAAGGUCUGAAGCAAAGGGUGAAAUGACAAGUUAGUAGUAACAUUUAUGAGCUCAGCUCACCCUGUCAAGUGGGAGACUUCACAAUCUGUCACCCAGGAAGAGAGAGAAAGGGCCAGAAGUCAACUUGCAUUAGAAAAUGUGCUAUUACCAAGAAGCAUGUCACCAAGACAACCGAAUAGAACUGUCCAGAGUAUGUCCUUCUGCAGAAAUAUCAAUUGAGACAACUAUCCAGGCAUGAAAUACCUUCAUAAGAACUAAACAAAACAGAACCAUCCCUUUAUUCUUCUUCUUUCCCCUACAAUGAAGUGAUUCUUUACAACAUCCUGUGCUCCUUUUAAAGCCCAUUGGUUCCUUGUGGUGCUGUCAGAAUGUACAUGAGGAACGUCUACUGAAGAAAGGAAAGCCUCUCAGAAGCCAAAUACCUGAAGAAAACUCACUCUGCCUCUCAUAAGAAUCCAUCAGUGGCCAAUAUCACCUCAGUGUUUCCACAGGACGUAUCCCAGAUGAUUGAGUCGGGGGAAAGUCUACAAAAGUUUGGAUGUUGAUUAUUUCCUAAUAUCCCAGAAAUGAGAGGAAAGCCUAAACAUGAUCUAGGAUUAAGGAUACCAGCUUUUGCAGAAGAACUAAAACAACUACCCAUGUCUAAACAAGCAACUACUAGACUCUUGGGCUUCCCAUUCACAACUGCCCAUUGUUGGGUUAGCUGGACUACUGACUAGUCACCAGCCAACAAACAGGCAUUAAAUUCACCAUCCUAAGGAAAUUAUUCAUACUCAAAACAUAACAGCCAAAAGUCAUGCACUUGAAGACUUCUGUCUCUACUCCUCUAUUCUACGGAUAAAGUGAAACCAUAACUUUCAGGAAAAGAAAACAUGAGAAUGUAGAUUACAAAAGUCGGAACUGACAAAAUACAUAAAGACCAUGGGAUGGAAUUUACAUUUUGAGGAUGGCAGAGUAAUGAAUCAGAAAGAGCCUUUGACACCAACGACUCACAGGAAGUCCCAACAUGUCUCCUUAAUAUCUUCAUAGUGGUCAUAUCAUUUGAAUAUGAAGAAGAAAAAGAGCAGGUGGAGGUAUUCAACCAUGCCGUCAAUCAACUAUGCAAUGCAACUAUGCAAUGACCAAUUAAAAGAAUAAGAAAUCUAAAUGAAUAGAUCUUUUAUUAUUAAUUUCAUUUAAUACUGGUUAAGCAAGAGAGACAGUUGAAUUAGGGUUUUUAAAAUAACA